rnacentral:rRNA from 1 species
GUGCAAGCGUUGUCCGGAAUUAUUGGGCGUAAAGAGCUCGUAGGCGGUCUGUCGCGUCGGCUGUGAAAUCCCGAGGCUCAACCUCGGGUCUGCAGUCGAUACGGGCAAACUAGAGUAUUGCAGGGGAGACUGGAAUUCCUGGUGUAGCGGUGAAAUGCGCAGAUAUCAGGAGGAACACCGGUGGCGAAGGCGGGUCUCUGGGCAAUAACUGACGCUGAGGAGCGAAAGCGUGGGGAGCGAACAGG